rnacentral:rRNA from 1 species
GAUCCUGGCUCAGGAUGAACGCUGGCGGCGUGCCUAACACAUGCAAGUCGAACGAAGCUCCUGCGACAGAUUCCUUCGGGAUGAAGAUGCUUGAGACUUAGUGGCGGACGGGUGAGUAACGCGUGGGUAACCUGCCCUGUACUGGGGGACAACAGUUAGAAAUGACUGCUAAUACCGCAUAAGCCUACGGAGUCGCAUGGCUCAGUAGGAAAAAUUCCGGUGGUACAGGAUGGGCCCGCG